rnacentral:rRNA from 1 species
AUUGAACGCUGGCGGCAGGCCUAACACAUGCAAGUCGAGCGGCAGCGGGAAAGUAGCUUGCUACUUUUGCCGGCGAGCGGCGGACGGGUGAGUAAUGCCUGGGGAUCUGCCCAGUCGAGGGGGAUAACUACUGGAAACGGUAGCUAAUACUGCAUACGCCCUACGGGGGAAAGCAGGGGACCUUCGGGCCUUGCGCGAUUGGAUGAACCCAGGUGGGAUUAGCUAGUUGGUGAGGUAACGGCUCACCCAGGCGACGAUCCCUAGCUGGUCUGAGAGGCUGAGCAGCGACACGGGAAGUGAGACACGGUCCAGACUCCGACGGGAGGCAGAAGUGGGGAAUAGUGCACAAUGGGGGAAACCCUGAUGCAGCCAUGCGGCGGGUGUGAAGAAGGCCUUCGGGUUGUAAAGCACUUUCAGCGAGGAGGAAAGGUCAGUAGCUAAUAUCUGCUGGCUGUGACGUUACUCGCAGAAGAAGCACCGGCUAACUCCGUGCCAGCAGCCGCCGUAA